GUGUUUAAUAGUAGACACCAGUAUUUACACAAGUUGCCACCAGUGGUUACCAGUAUGUACAGUAAGACUUAGAAAUGCGUAACCAUUCGCAGAUAAUGGUAGGCACCAGUAAAGUUACCAGUACCUAUAGGUAGUCACCAGUAAAGUUACCAGUACUUAUAGGUAGGCACCAGUAAAGUUACCAGUACCUAUAGGUAGUCACCAGUAAAGUUACCAGUACUUAUAGGUAGGCACCAGUAAAGUUACCAGUACCUAUAGGUAGUCACCAGUAAAGUUACCAGUACUUAUAGGUAGGCACCAGUAAAGUUACCAGUACCUAUAGGUAGUCACCAGUAAAGUUACCAGUACUUAUAGGUAGUCACCAGUAAAGUUACCAGUACUUAUAGGUAGGCACCAGUAAAGUUACCAGUACCUAUAGGUAGUCACCAGUAAAGUUACCAGUACUUAUAGGUAGGCACCAGUAAAGUUACCAGUACUUAUAGGUAGGCACCAGCAUCUAAAAGUAGCCCCCA